UACGAAGGGGGCUAGCGUUGCUCGGAAUCACUGGGCGUAAAGGGUGCGUAGGCGGGUCUUUAAGUCAGAGGUGAAAGCCUGGAGCUCAACUCCAGAACUGCCUUUGAUACUGAGGAUCUCGAGUUCGGGAGAGGUGAGUGGAACUGCGAGUGUAGAGGCGAAAUUCGUAGAUAUUCGCAAGAACACCAGUGGCGAAGGCGGCUCACUGGCCCGAUACUGACGCUGAGGCACGAAAGCGUGGGGAGCAAACAGG
rnacentral:rRNA from 1 species